rnacentral:rRNA from 1 species
CCGAAUGAGGAAACUCACUUAGAGUAAUGUCUAAGUAUCAUUAAGUGAAUACAUAGCUUAAUGAGGGGAACUCAGGGAACUGAAACAUCUAAGUACCUGAAGGAAGAGAAAGAAAUUCGAUUCCGUAAGUAGCGGCGAGCGAACGCGGAUUAGCCCAAACCAAUAAAGUUUUCUUUAUUGGGGUUGCGGACAUAUAAUAACGAAGAGGUAUCGUAAUUGAAGAGGUUUGGAAAGACCCACCACAGAAGGUAAUAGUCC